UUACUUUGCUCAAAUCUCUUCCUUUCAGUUUUCUUCCAACUCCUUCCAUAACUGAAGACGACGAUGAUGAUCGACUGCGCCGCAGGAAAUAUUCCUCCGGUGACACAUUCUCAUCAUCAACAACUUUCUUUGUCUUCUUUCUUUGAACCAUUGACCAAUCAGGGACAUUGACAGGGACCGACUGUUGUCUCAUAGGUGCCAUUCCUUCUGUCCUCUGCCUCUCAGGAAUCAUUCUAGGUUCGCUUGGAAGUAAAGUUUGGGUUGAGAAAGAAGG
rnacentral:lncRNA from 1 species